rnacentral:rRNA from 1 species
GACGAACGCUGGCGGCGUGCUUAACACAUGCAAGUCGAACGGAAAGGCCCUGCUUUUGUGGGGUUCUCGAGUGGCGAACGGGUGAGUAACACGCGAGUAACCUGCCCUUGACUUUGGGAUAACUUCAGGAAACUGGGGCUAAUACCGGAUAGGAGCUCCUGCUGCAUGGGGGGGGUUGGAAAGUUUCGGCGGUUGGGGAUGGACUCGCGGCUUAUCAGCUUGUUGGUGGGGUAGUGGCUUACCAAGGCUUUGACGGGUAGCCGGCCUGAGAGGGUGACCGGCCACAUUGGGACUGAGAUACGGCCCAGACUCCUACGGGAGGCAGCAGUGGGGAAUAUUGCACAAUGGGCGGAAGCCUGAUGCAGCAACGCCGCGUGCGGGAUGACGGCCUUCGGGUUGUAAACCGCUUUCGCCUGUGACGAAGCGUGAGUGACGGUAAUGGGUAAAGAAGCACCGGCUAACUACGUG